rnacentral:rRNA from 1 species
UACAGAGGUCCCGAGCGUUGUUCGGAUUCACUGGGCGUAAAGGGUGCGUAGGUGGUGGAGUAAGUUUGAUGUGAAAUCUCCGGGCUUAACCCGGAAACGGCAUUGAAUACUAUUUUGCUGGAGGUUUGGAGGGGGGACUGGAAUUCUCGGUGUAGCAGUGAAAUGCGUAGAUAUCGAGAGGAACACCAGUGGCGAAGGCGAGUCCCUGGACAACACCUGACACUGAGGCACGAAAGCUAGGGGAGCAAACAGG